rnacentral:rRNA from 1 species
UCGGCUCGCCCUAGCGCGGGGCUGGAGAAGGUCCCAAGCGUUUGGCUGUUCGCCAAUUAAAAGGGCACGCGAGCUGGGUUCAGACCGUCAGUCAACACUUAUUUACUGUUAUAUAAGUGUGGCGGCCCGUGAUAGUAAUAUCGCGGAGAAAAAAUCGACUCAUAUCGGUGAAGUCCUAAUGUAUAUUGAAUUUCAACCUGUCAUAUGUUAGGAUAAUACCGAGGGAAGUUGUUUAUGUCGAAAAACUUUUCGUCAACUAAAAGAGCUUAUUUAGCCGGAUUUUUAGACGGCGACGGAAGUAUUUAUGUAAGGUUAAAACCAAAUCCGACUUAUCGGUAUGGAUUUCAGGUAGCGCCUUAUAUUGUGCUUUUCCAAUCGCAAAAAGACCGGGUGAAUUUCGAGAAAAUUUGUUCGCUGAUUAAAAUUGGCCAUCUUCGGGAGAGAAAGGAUGGUAUUCUUGAAUACAUUAUUGAUAAAAAAGAUGCCAUUGCUGAAUUUCUUAAAAUCAUCAAACCGUAUGCGAUUUUGAAGAAAAAACAGGUGGCACUUAUGAUUAAAAUUUUGGACAAGAAGGCACGAAUCAGAAAUCAAAGCGAUUUUAAUCAAUUAGCUCAAUUAGUUGAUAAAUUUCGAGAAUUGAAUUACUCGAAGAAAAGAAAGCGACAUGGAUUAACCCCGUAGAGACUUAACCCGGAAGGGUUGGAGUUGCUUUAAAAAAGCAGCUAAUACGUCGAUCUUCCUUAAAAAAGGAAGGUGGUAUAGUCCAUGCAUGUAGUAAUACGUGAUUAACAUGCGUGAGACAGGUUGGUCUCUAUCUGCUGCAGGCGUUGACGCUUGAGGGAAGUUGUCCUUUGUACGAGAGGAUCAGGAUGAACGAACCUCUGGUCUACCGGCUUUGCCACCAGGUGAAGCGCCGGGUAGCUAUGUUCGGCAGGGAUAAGCGCUGAAAGCAUCUAAGCGCGAAGCCCCUCCCAAGAUUAGGCGUCUUAGACUCGUGGAAGACUACCACGUUGAUAGACUUUAGGUGUAAGGCCAGCAAUGGUUUUAGCCAAGAAGUACUAAUAAGUCAAAAUUGUUU